GUUCUAAUUUGAAUUGAAUAAAUUUCAUCAAAUUUUCAUAUUCAUUCUUAAAUGUUGUUUCAACAUUUUUAUUUCAUUUAUCAUGUUUUUUUCCGCGUAAAAAAUCAAUUUUUUUUAUUAUGUUAGGUACCUGAGGUGUUAAUUUCUAUUGUUGAUGAUUACAAUGGAUUCAUAUUGAUUAUUGGAGAGAAAAAUACAGGGGCAGCAAGAGGGUGUUAUAUGUUUGGCAAAAUAGAAGAUGUUGAACAGACUACAUAACAGGAAUGAGACGUUAGUUACCUUUGUCCAUUUGGUCAUUGCUUUGAGGUCCUUAUUGAUAAUAUCAAAGACUUCGCUCCUAUUAUAUAUACUCCAACUGUAGGACUGGUAUGUCAAAAUUAUUGCACAUGGAAUGUAUUUCAUCGCCAAGGAUAAGAGAGGGAUGAUGUCCAUGAUUUAUAACUGACCUAUUGAACAUGCUUGUGUAAACGUCGGUGAGGAGUAGCUCGGUCCUUAUUAAGCUUGAAGGGGACACCGUCAGGGGAAGGUGUGUCUUUCUCGGAGCUGUUGACUGGUCCUCUUUUAGUCCUCAAUAAUUUUAGGUUAAUUAGGCAGAAGAGGAGAAGACGACUUAAGCUAGCGAAUCAUUGAGAAUAAGACAACUUUUGUCUCAGUGGUGCCAUAUGGCUAGGAAGAUUAAUCUCUUGUUGGAACUGCAAAAGGAUAGGUUUAUGCCUAUAUAUUACAUAGCUGCACCUACUAAUAAUAUGAGUCUGUAGAAAGCUCGAUCAUUUGAGAGGUCCUCGAGUAAUAUGGUAAUUUAUUUCUGCUGACCACUUUUUCCUGCUUCCUACACUAAACUGAUGGGUUAAACUUGUGUUGGAGCAUAUUCGAGACUUGUAUUUUAAUCAUUAGUUGUUUCUUUUUUAUGUACUAAUACAGCUGUUAAAUCAUUACUCCAUUAAGAUAGAUUUAUCCUAUUGCUCUAACAGGAUGUUGAUUUGGUCUACUUUACUCUUGAAUGAAAAGAACUCCUGGAUUAAAUUUUCUUUUUCCGCAAGCACUUCAACUCUACUGAACUGAAUGUCUGAGUUACUCGGGCAGUGUUAUGUUUUUCCCUUUUCCUUAUGGUAUUGGCAAUAGUGGUUUUGUAGGGUGGGUGGGCAGUGUGGGGCUUGAUUCCUCCUUUUGGAAAGUAAGCAUCAAGGGAACUGUAAUUCUUCCUCUUAGUUACAAUACUCAUCUCUUGUGACUGUCAUCCUUUCCAGGCUUUAAAAUCAUUCAUCCAUGUCAAUGGCUACUUGCAGCUUUUGUUUUAUUUGAUAUGGUGCUCAGAUUGUUUUAAAAUUAUACUCCAUAAUAACUAGACGAGUUUAACACGCCUUCGCUUUCUUAAUAGAGUAUAGGGUCUUUUAUCGUCAGUGUCAUAUGGCUUGGCAAUUAGAGUCGUUUAAAUUUAUUCAGUUUGAGUUUAACACGCCUUCUCUUUCUUAAUAGAGUAUAGGGUCUUUUAUCGUCAGUGUCAUAUGACUUGGAAAUUAGAGUCGUUUAAAUUUAGUCAGUUUGCACAAAUUCGUUAGAGGUUAUAUAAUUUAUACUUCGUAAUUGUUUAAAUGGAGGAAGUUAGUUUGAAAAUUUUAGAUUUAUUAAGUGGCAAGAGGCUGCAAAAAAUUCAAGUAUGAGUACAUCUAUUUGAGAUUUAUUUGUAUAAAUUGGCUAUGCUAUACACAAUCACCAUUUGAAAGCCGAAAGAUCUUCAAUCCAUUUAUUCGGUGCAAGGUCUUCAAUCCUUAUAUUCUGCGCCCGUAACAAUUUUGAUUGCGUAGCUUGUGCAAAAAGAUAAUUCUAGCUGUUUUGUGCUUCUAUUUUUGGAGUCUCUUCAGGAGAGCUUAAUUGUUGAAGCAUUGGACGAAAAUUAGGAAGCUAUUAGGCUAUUUAUAACCAAGGAACAAAAGGUGUUGUAGGAUUUAGUAUUCCAUGGGUCAGCUCUUUGUUAGUUGUCUCAUUUGUCUGCUUAUCGGCUUAAGGCCCUUGCAUCUAACUUAUUUUGUUAUUUGUCCACUGUCUUUGGGAUCAAACUGCCUUUGGGAGCAGAAUUAGUGGUUGUCUCGGUUAAUCGGGGGUAACACAUUAGCAGAAGAUUAUAGGAGAUAUUUACUGGAAGAAGGAUGUUGGUAAGCGUAAGCCUAUUCAUUUCAAACAACUUAUGAUUCCAAAGUAAACUCAUACUUAUGAUAAAUUAACAUGAACAAAUAGACUGAGACUAAUCUAUAAUAUUUAUGAACAUGGUCAAGAACACAUUGCACUUUGUUAGUGGAUGGGGUGGUUGAUGCAUAGCUGCUACUUACAUGGGUGGGCGGAUUUCUCAGAUCGCUUAGAAUGCGAGACAUUAUAUUUCUCCUAAUGCAAGGAGCGUUAACUUCCAGUACUUUUGGUUGGUGGCAGCUUUGGACAGUCAAAUUCUGGAGGAAGUAGAGUUGCUAACUACAUGCCGAUUUUAGAAGCAUAUGUUGGUUCUGGUAAUCAAGCUGAAAAGUUGGAAUCAAUAACUACAAUCGGACUUUACACCUGAUUGAUAUGAAUGAUGAUUUUGUAUUGACAAUAUGUAUCUUUUACGUAGACUUAUUUACAUAAUAUAUUUUUAUAUCUUGGGGGAUCGUGCGCGCUAGCGCACGGGCCAACAACUAGUAAAACUAAAAAGACUCGAAUGAUACAUUGAGACGUAUCAAUAGUUUGGGCUUGGGCUGCUUCCUAAUGUUUGCAACAGUGAACAAGAACAAACUUUGGGCCUUGAAUGGAGAAAUGACGGCCCAAUGGGCUUAUAUGAUUCUACUAAUAUGUCUAAAUAAUCGCCUUUGAAAAUAAUGAU